CAGUUACUGAUUUUCACUGAUUUAUUCCAAGAGAGCAUCCAUUCUGGAUAAAAAUAUUUUUUUAUGGUGUAGAUGAUAAUAAUAAUCAUAAUAGGAACUGAAAAGUAAAAUUAUCAGUGAAAAUAAUAAGUAUUCUUGAUGUGGAGAUUGAUUUACCAAACUAACAAUGAGAAUAAAAAAUUAAAUUUCAAUUGAUUGGACCUACGAUGCAAAAUGUCGGUUAUUAAGAGAAACCUAUUAUUAAAUAAUCCCUUGUUCUUUCGCAUGUCUCUUCUUCGGUAUGUUUCUUUUUCUUCGACCCAUACUCACGAUUGGAAAGUGUCUGAGAAAGAAAAAAAAAUAACCAGUGAAUCUGGCUUUGUUGAUUCAAAAGCGAUAAUACUAGACUGUAAAACUUUUUUCUCGCCCUCAUCGAAUGUAGACGGUAGACAGCAGCAAAAAACUAUCAUGGAAAUAGAGAUAGCACAUUCAUAUAAUUACUGAUCCGUAUUUAAUUUUAUAAUGAACUUUAGGCAGUAUUUUAUUGAUGUAACCUGACAGUUUCAAUCAUCAUCAAUACGUUUAAUGUGGAUCCAAAGAUUUUAUAAUACUGAGUACUCAAUAAAAAGUUCACAUGGGCUUUUCGAUUUUUGCUUGGAAUUCCAGAUGGAAAGAUAUUAUUUUCUUUUCUUCUUGCUUCUUACCAAGAUUCACGAACGAAUCGAUAGGUUUCGGGAGUCUUAAACAUUCGACUAUGGAGAAACACCUUGGAUUUAAUUGCCACUGGAAGUUGAUACAAAAAAAAGAUAAAAAUAUAAAGAAAGUGGAAAACAUAUAUCAUUGUGUAAUGUUGUGAUACAUUGAGUGAUUUUAUCUAGGGGUCACAAUUUGGGCACUUGUUUACCGGGUGAUUAAACUUCACCGUAAAAAAUUCUGAUUCAAUCUUCUGCAUAAAUAAGACAACUGACAUCACAGAGGAUGACGUAAAUGAAAUCAACUAUCAGAUGGACAAUGUUGAAGUAAUUUAAAAAAAAAGUUAAAUACUCGAAUUCACAUAUAAAGCAUAAAUAAGUUGUCGGAAAAGUUGGAUUAUAGUGAAAUAAACGUUGGACAGGACGGUUAUAUACUCAGACUUGUGGACCUCGAGCUCAUAAGCUUCCAUAUUUAUCUGUAGUGAGUGCUUAUAAAAUUGUUAGCUUAUGUUUCAGGAUUCACAACAAAGUUCACUCGUUCAGAUGAGAGAAAGAAGGAAAGAAAUUUUCAGUCAAGUCAAAACUUGUGUAAUACACUUUUAUUUAUAUAUAUAUAUAUUCAAGUAGAUAUUAUAAAGAAGCUGGUUUUUUUUUGAAGUUUAAAGGACUUGGAUGAUACAAGUAAGUCAAAAAAAAAUUGUGGGGAGCGCGAAAAAAGUAGAGAGGGAGUUGUGAACUGGCGUAACGGUAAGGAGACAAGCCUAGUGAUUUAAUUACACGCUACUUUACUCAGAACUCACUACACUGACUCUUAUGCUCUCUCGUCGACACACUCGAAAUAUCUCUAAUUGUACGAGAGAUUCUUCGGCUAAGUAAUGCUCAUAAAAAAAUAAAUAAUUAUGAAGUGAUAUAGCCGAGAUUGUGUGGAAUGACGUUUAAGAGUUCAGCCCCUUAGUGGACGCUUUAAGAAAGGAUGUUGGUGGCAUCGCUUGAGUGACGUUGGAGUAUGAGUGCAGCCACAUUAAUGCUGUGCGUGCCCUAUAGCAAUUCACUGCAUGAUCAUGAAGAGAUUUGCGAUUUGCUCAGGAUUUAAUGUAGAAGGAAACGGGCAUAGUUGUUUCAUCGCGCAACACUGAUUCACUGAGCAGUUAAAACUCAUCUUGGACCUCUGGGUUUUACUUAAUAAGAAAUACUCUAGAAUUUAGGAUCACAAGAUGCUGAUUCGCUGCAUAGCUUUGUAAUUUUCACUAUAAGUAACAAAAAUGCCGGCAAAAUUUGCUACGCCAUCUGGUGGAAGCGUCAUGAUGAC
rnacentral:lncRNA from 1 species